CCAACUUGAAAUUCCAAUUCUCGCCGACGUUUGUUCGCAUAACUCUUUUGUCGACUUUGUGCUGUCAGUAGACGUUUUCGUGCCAGUCGAACUUUAGCUUCAGCCUCUUGUAAUACAUCUGGACCCAAAACCAAUCUCUCACCCACUUCACUCCAAUGCAGUGGUGAUCUACACUUUCUACCAUACAGGGCUUCAAACGGUGCCAUCUGAAUACUUGCGUGAUAACUGUUGUUAUAAGCAAAUUCAGCCAUCGGGAGGAACUGUGGCCAACUGCCCUGGUAGUCAAUCACACAGGCCCUCAACAUAUCCUCAAGGGUCUGGAUGGUACGCUCAGACUGCCCGUCACUUUGAGGGUGGAAAGCAGUACUGAAAUCCAAUCGGGUACCCAAAGCCUCCUGUAAACUUCUCCAGAAAUGCGAAACAAAUCGGGUGUCUCGGUCAGAAACAAUAGAGGCUGGUACUCCAUGUAAUCGCACAAUUUCAUCAAGGUACACUUGUGCGAGUCUCUCCCCUGACCAAGUUGUGUGGAUUGGAAUAAAGUGGGCAGAUUUGGUCAAUCUAUCCACAAUUACCCAAAUUGCAUCGUGACCUGCUUGUGAGCGAGGUAAUCCAACGAUAAAAUCCAUAGUAAUCCUCUCCCACUUCCACACUGGUAUGGGUAAACUCUGAAGUUUUCCCGCAGGAAGUCGAUGUUCAGCUUUAACUUGCUGACAUGUUAAGCACUUAGCUACAAAGUCUGCAACUUCCUUUUUCAUUCCAGGCCACCAGUAGGUUAACUUCAAAUCUUUAUACAUCUUUGUACUUCCAGGGUGUACAGUAUACGGCGCCCGGUGGGCUUCUUUUAAAAUCUCUUCUUUAAUGUCUGGAUUUGCUGGCACACAAAGCCUAUCACAAAAUCUUAACAGUCCCUGAUCAUCCACUCGAAACUCACCACCAUGAUCAGCAGUGAUCUUUACUCGAAUCUUUUGCAGGGAUUCAUCUUGAGCUUGCUUUUCUUUAAUUCGAUCGAUCAGGGUAGGCCGCACCACUAAUGACAUAAGUCUCCAAGGCGUAUCAGGAGCUACAACUUCCAAAUUUAAUUGCUCCAUUUCCUUUACCAACAGGGAUUGCAUUGUUAUCGACAUCGCCAAAUUUUCCGUCGAUUUUCGACUUAAAGCAUCUGCUACAACAUUAGCUUUUCCCGGAUGAUAGAGAAUGGUCAAAUCAUAAUCCUUGAGCAACUCCAACCAUCUACGUUGCCUCAAGUUUAAUUCCUUCUGAGUAAACAGAUACUUUAAGCUCUUAUGAUCGGUGUAAACCUCGCAACGCUCGCCGUAGAGGUAGUGGCGCCAAAGCUUUAAGGCAAAUACCACCGCUGCUAACUCCAGAUCAUGUGUAGGGUAGUUCUUUUCAUAAUCCUUUAAUUGGCGUGAUGCAUAAGCAAUCACCUGGCCAUUCUGCAUUAGAACACACCCUAAGCCAUUCAACGACGCAUCGCUGUAAAUCACAUAGUCCACUCCAGUAACAGGCAGUGCCAGAAUUGGGGCGGUAGUCAAUCGUUCCUUCAGUUCUUGAAAGCUUCUUUCACAGGCUUCGUUCCACAGAAACUUAGCUCCUUUAUGUGUGAGUCGAGUGAGAGGAGUAGACAUCUUUGCAAAUCCCUCUACAAAUCUUCGGUAGUAUCCCGCCAAACCAAGGAAACUCCGAAUCUCUGUGACACUGGUCGGCCUAGGCCAAUCUUUAAUCGCUUCAAUCUUCUGUGGAUCCACAGCUAUCCCAGUUUCUGAAAUCACAUGGCCCAGAAAUGCCACUUCUCGAAGCCAAAAUUCGCAUUUCUUUAACUUGGCAAACAGUUCCUUUUCUCGAAGUACUUGCAACACCACUCUCAAAUGGUCUUCAUGCUCUUUGUCACUUCGAGAAUAGAUCAAGAUAUCGUCAAUAAACACUACUACGAAUCUAUCCAAAUAGGGCUUAAAGACACGGUUCAUUAAAUCCAUAAAGGCUGCUGGCGCAUUAGUCAAUCCAAAAGGCAUGACUGUAAAUUCAUAAUGCCCAUACCGUGUUCUAAAAGCGGUCUUAGAGACAUCUUCAGGCUUGAUCUUAAGCUGAUGAUAACCAGAUUGCAAAUCAAUCUUGGAGUAUACUUUCGACCCUUGCAGCUGAUCGAAUAAGUCAUCAAUUCUAGGCAAUGGAUAUUUGUUCUUGAUUGUGACCUUGUUGAUUUCUCGAUAAUCCACGCACAAUCGCAGAGAUCCAUCCUUCUUCUUAACAAACAACACCGGUGCUCCCCAGGGCGAAACACUCGGUCGAAUAAAUCCUUUAUCUAAAAGAUCUUGUAAUUGUGCCUUCAGCUCUUUCAAUUCAGCGGGUGCCAUCCUAUAAGGCGCUUUAGAAAUAGGGGUAGUCCCAGGGACAAGGUCAAUCACAAACUCAACCUCCCUAUCAGGUGGCAUGCCCGGCAAUUCAGCUGGAAAUACAUCCUUGAAUUCUCGCACAACCGG
rnacentral:lncRNA from 1 species